AAGCUCAAAUUUGAAAUCGGCCACCAGGUCGAGUUGUAAUUUGUAGAUUGUAUCUUGAGAGCGGAUUAAAGUCUGUUGGAACACAGCGCCUUAGAGGGUGACAGCCCCGUAAAAUCUAUUCUCAUUGUAAGAUACUUUCGAAGAGUCGAGUUGUUUGGGAAUGCAGCUCUAAGUGGGAGGUAAAUUCCUUCUAAAGCUAAAUAUUGACGAGAGACCGAUAGCGAACAAGUACUGUGAAGGAAAGAUGAAAAGCACUUUGAAAAGAGAGUGAAAAAGUACGUGAAAUUGUUAAAAGGGAAGGGUAUUGAAUCAGACUUGGUGCUGUUGUUCAACUGUGUUUCGGCAUAGUGUACUCAGCAGUACUAGGCCAAGGUGGGGUGUUUGGGAGUGAAAAAGAAGUAGGAACGUAACUCUUCGGAGUGUUAUAGCCUACUUUCAUAGCUCCUCAGGCGCCUCAGGACUGCGCUUCGGCAAGGACCUUGGCAUAAUGAUUCUAUACCGCCCGUCUUGA
rnacentral:rRNA from 1 species